rnacentral:lncRNA from 1 species
GAAGGAGGGAGAAGGAAGAAGAAUAAGGGAAUAAAGGAGAAGAUAAAGGAGACAUUAACUGGAGGCGCUAUUGAUGACAAGAAGGAAAUAGGUGAUCAUCAACAGACUGCACAAACUACUACUACUGCUGCUGCUUAUGAAGCUGAAGGAGGGGAGAAGAAGGGAAUGAUGGAGAAAAUCAAGGAAAAGAUCCCUGGGAUGCAUUAAUAUUGAAGUCUCAAUGGAAUACAUCUUAUCAUCAUCUUGGAGAUGAACGAUUCGAGUCGUCGUCUAUGAACUAUAUAUGAAGUCCUUUUUCAUGCGUUGAGUGUGAGCGAACGUUCAUUUAUAAUACGAGUGUGUUGUUCAAGUGGAGUGAUAUAUAGCUAGUCAUAAAGCAUGGUGUUCCCACUUUUCUGUAUAUACAACAAGCUAGGCCAUGCCCUGCUUCCUGUCAUGGAUAUAUGGCAAUUGCAUUUGUAUCUAUAGUGUUCUGUGCUAUGUUUGCCUAUGCCUAAUAUAAUGCGGUUUUGUAAAUAAAUUUAUAUACUCCAUCAAUUAUCUUUAAUGCUAUUUGAU